UACGUAGGGUCCGAGCGUUGUCCGGAAUUAUUGGGCGUAAAGGGCUCGUAGGCGGUUCGUCACGUCGGGAGUGAAAACUCGGGGCUUAACCCCGAGCCUGCUUCCGAUACGGGCAGACUAGAGGUAGGCAGGGGAGAGCGGAACUCCUGGUGUAGCGGUGGAAUGCGCAGAUAUCAGGAAGAACACCGGUGGCGAAGGCGGCGACCUGGUCCGUGACUGACGCUGAGGCGCGAAAGCGUGGGGAGCGAACAGG
rnacentral:rRNA from 1 species